UAGAGUUUGAUCCUGGCUCAGGAUGAACGCUGGCGGCGUGCCUAAUACAUGCAAGUCGAACGAGGUGCCUUGUAGCCAAUACGAGGGUAUCCUAGUGGCGAACGGGUGAGUAACGCGUUGGUGACCUGCCCCAAAAGUGUGGGAUAACAGUUCGAAAGGACUGCUAAUACCGCAUGUGGUCAUCGGAUUUAGAAACCGAUGUCUAAAGCAGUAAUGCGCUUUGGGAGGGACCUGCGUCCCAUCAGCUAGUUGGUGAGGUAACGGCCCACCAAGGCUACGACGGGUAGGGGACCUGAGAGGGUGACCCCCCACAAUGGAACUGAAACACGGUCCAUACACCUACGGGGGCAGCAGUAGGGAAUAUUGCACAAUGGGGAAAGCCUGAUGCAGCAACGCCGCGUGCACGAAGAAGGUCUUCGGAUCGUAAAGUGCUUUUCUGAGAGAUGAGAAAGGACAGUAUCUCAGGAAUAAGUCUCGGCUAACUACGUGCCAGCAGCCGCGGUAAAACGUAGGAGGCAAGCGUUAUCCGGAUUCACUGGGCGUAAAGCGCGUGCAGGCGGUUCGGUAAGUUGGGCGUGAAAUCUCCCGGCUCAACUGGGAGAGGUCGUUCAAUACUACCGAGCUAGAGAGCAGUAGAGGAAGAUGGAAUUCCCGGUGUAGUGGUGAAAUGCGUAGAUAUCAGGAGGAAUACCAGUGGCGAAGGCGACUGCCUGGACUGACCCUGA
rnacentral:rRNA from 1 species